rnacentral:lncRNA from 1 species
AUGGAUUUGACUAAAAUGGGUAUGAUCCAGCUCCAGAACCCCAAUCACCCCAAUGCCCUGCUGCACAAGGCUAAUCAGAUGCGCCUGGCCGGCACGCUGUGUGACGUGGUCAUCAUGGUGGACAGCCAGGAGUUCCACGCUCACCGGACCGUGCUGGCCUGCACCAGUAAGAUGUUUGAGAUCCUCUUUCACCGGAACAGCCAACAUUACACUCUCGACUUUCUCUCACCAAAGACCUUCCAGCAGAUUCUGGAGUAUGCCUACACUGCCAUGCUCCAAGCUAAAGUGGAGGAUCUGGAUGACCUGCUUUAUGCAGAGCAAUGCCUGAAGAUACUGGAGACCAUCCAGUCCUCGGAUGAAAAUGACACGGAGGUCAACAUGAACGACGGAGGCGCAGAAGACGAUGAGGAGCGCAAGGGACGGCAUGGCAGGAACCCGAAAAAGCAUUCCGUGGAGGAGGGCAGCUACAUGUCGGCUGCCCAGCAAGCACUGACGCUGCCAGGAAUGGUGGAUCAGAGUCCUUCUGUCUCCACCUCCUUCGGCCUCUCCACCAUGAGCCCAACGAAAGCAGCCGUGGACAGCCUGAUGAGCAUCGGCCAGUCCCUCCUGCAGAGAACCAUGCACCCCGGCGCGGGUGCCGAACAGCCCCUGCACGGCAACUCCCACCCCAUGAUGGGAGAGAUCAAGACGGAGAUGAUGCAAGUAGAUGAGAGCGGAGAACACGAGAACCCAAAAGCCAUGGAAUCCAGCGCCUCCAGCAACGGCGAGCGCAGCGGAGAACCUGACAAGAACCGCGAUGGGCCCGGCACCCCUACCAGGAGCAGCGUGAUCACUAGUGCCCGUGAACUGCACUACGUCAGGGAGGAAGGUGUGGGCGACCAGCAGGCGGAGGUCAACCAGAUGGGCCUGGAGGCCAUGGCAGGGAUGACCGAAAAGCACUUGGCGUCACUCUACGGCAUUCCUCCCAACCACAAGAACGAAGCAAUGCUCUCUAUGCCCGCUUCUAUGGCCUCAUCCUUGCACAUGUCCCCAGCAUUGGCCAUGAUAUUGAUGCCAAAUCAGUGUUUCGGACCACAAUUCUUUUCCGCUGUUAAAGAAAUUCAUGAGUUGGAAAUAUGUCUGCACAGCGGAAUGAAGACCUACGGAUGCGAGCUUUGUGGAAAACGCUUCCUAGACAGUCUGCGCCUAAGGAUGCACUUGCUGUCUCACUCAGCUGGUGAGAAAGCCAUCGUUUGUGACCAGUGUGGAGCUCAGUUUCAGAAGGAAGAUGCUCUUGAGGCCCACCGGCAGAUCCACACAGGAUCAGAUAUGGCCAUCUUCUGUUUGCUGUGCGGGAAGCGCUUCCAGACGCAGACAGCUCUGCAGCAGCACAUGGAGGUCCACGCAGGCGUGCGCAGCUACAUCUGCAGCGAGUGCAACCGCACAUUUCCCAGCCACACCGCACUCAAGCGCCAUCUCCGUUCGCAUACAGCAGGUGACCAUCCAUUUGAGUGCGAGUUCUGCGGCAGCUGCUUCCGAGACGAGAGCACACUGAAGGGACACAAACGCAUCCACACCGGAGAGAAACCCUAUGAAUGUAACGGCUGCGGCAAGAGGUUCAGCCUCAAACACCAGCUAGAGACCCACUACCGUGUCCAUACAGGUGAGAAGCCGUUUGAGUGCAAGCUCUGCCACCAGCGCUCCAGGGACUACUCGGCCAUGAUCAAACACCUGCGUACCCACAACGGAGCCUCACCGUACCAGUGCACCAUCUGCCUGGAAUACUGCCCCAGCCUCUCCUCCAUGCAGAAGCACAUGAAGGGCCACAAGCCCGAAGACAUCCCCCCGGACUGGAGGAUAGAGAAGACUUACCUCUACCUCUGCUACGUCUGAAGGAGGGAGACGACGGGGAGGGAAGGGAGCAGGAGGGCGAGGGGUUUGAAGCGCCUGGAAACACAGUCAGGAAAUGGAUGGAUUUGUUGGUGGUGCUGGGCAAGGCGGACAGAAAUCUUACCCCGUCAGUAUAGCAAAACAUUAAAAAAAAGCAUCAUGUUAUAGCCGUAUAUGGGAAGUCCACUCUCUACAUGUCAGCUUACGUCCCAAACGUUAAAUAUGUCUUAUCAGUCAAACGACACACACUUCAACAACGAUUCCUCCUCUUCAUAAGGAUGCCCUCUUCUGGUACAAAAACAGUAGUGUGAACCAGACACAGUGUUUAUCUCUCAGAGAUGUGCAGGAAGCACUUAGACCCUUCAGUGGUAACGUGCCAGUCAGGUACUCCACAGCAAAUAUGAACAGUCAUGUUCAUCAGGGUCAUUACUGCAAACUGGAACGUAAGCUUCCUGCAAAACAUGUUCACGAUGCCCGGCUGACAGUCAGCAUGUAGAUCCCUCCCAUAUGAUUCACAUUCAUUAAGGGCUUAUUGGUUUAACCAGCGUACAAAUCAGCUAAGCUCUCAGUACUCUGCUCAUCAAUGUCAUUUAACUUUUUUUUUUCUCUCGGCAUAGCGCGUAUUACAAGCUGACUUCACGACGACAGUUUUUGUUUGAUGUUGAUUUCUCAAGCGCAACAUUUCGAGUUUAUUUCAAGCAGAAUAACACGCACACACUGUACAUGUUCAUGUUAUCUCCUCCUUCGCUUAUCAAGUCUGAAAUCGCUUAACCGUUCGAAACGAGUAACUUGGCAAUACAUACAGAACAUCCAUUACACACUAGAAAUCUAAUCAACUGUUUAUGCUGUUGUUAUAGAGACCAAAAUGAUGACUGAAGCUGCUUUAGUCAGUGGCUUGCAGACUGAGCGGCACUGUGACGUACAGGGCUCGUCCGCACAUAUCCGUGUGUUCGUAGGUGGUCAUGAGGCUUGGCCUGUCCAGCCGGGAACGCUGGGAUGAAUGAACAGAGCAGAUCAACUCUUUUGGUUUGGUUCCUUUCGCUUUGUUUGUGUUUCCUAUUAUACCUUGAUUUACUUCAGCACAUCGUACUUGAAUUACCUCGUUUUUUUGUGACCUCAUGUGCUAGUGUUUUCAUUUUUCCUUUGUUUCUUUAUAUAUUUGACUGUUUGCUUUGCGAGCAGGAGCGGCGUGUGCUUUUAUGUACUUACGAAAUUAAGUGCCAUGGUGAAGAGAGAUUGUCUUUCGUUCGAAGUUUGUUUUUCUUUGCAUUAAUCUUACCAAACUUGGUAUUAUGUUUUUGUUUUGUUUGUUUGUUUUGUUUUACUAACCCUGCUUGUUGAAGAGCUUGUGGGUUUGGUCAUUUUUGUUGUAAGCUACCUCUAAGUUUUGUUUCUUUUUGUUGUUUCGUUUGCGAAAGCACAUUUGUUGUGUUUUGCGUUAUUUCAACUUCAUCUCACGCUUUCAAGUGUUGUACGUCGGAAGCGACGAAUAUGAAAGGGUAGGAUUUGCUUAUAGGAAAGGCGAAUUGAAAAAAAUAAUCAGAACUUUCCCUAUCAGUCCCCCCCACCCCUGUAAAUUGUUACCUUAAGAGCAGAAAAGAGAUUUCUGAAGCCUUAAGUUCGGGGUCGGAGUUGAUCUGGGAGGUGCGUAUGGAACAAGUGAAGUGUAGUACUUUAAAGUCUGGAAAAAAAAAAAACGUUAAACUUGAAAAUAUGUGAAUAGAAUUGUAGUUUUGUAAUGUGAAAAAAGAAGGUUCACAGAGCGUGAGCCGCCAAGAACAGGUCAUAUGCAGCAGUGCAUUGUGCGUUGGACAAUUGGGACUGCAAGUGGUAAUCAAAGACGAAAGGAAGAAGAAAAAAAAAAAACGAAAAAUCCUGUCAGUUGACAUGUUUCUUUGUAUGAGUGUAGUCCUGAGCAAGAGCCAACAGAGGCCAUUUGAUAUAUAAAAUUGUGAUAUUUUUGUAUUAAGUGUCAGUCCCUUUUUUCCAUUUGUUGAGGUUGCAGCGGGGCAAAACUUUGUAGUUCUUUUUUUAUAUCAUUAUUCUCUCGUUUGAAUCGUUUGCCUUGCUCCUCUUCGGUAAUGUUGGACAGUGCGUGAUCCUAUAGUGGUAAAUGUUGCUUUCUGGAUGUCAAUACAUUGCAGGUGAAGGACUAAAUCAGCCACAUUCUCCUUUGUGAAAAUAACAACAAACAAACAAAACUAAAAAAGAUGUGAUGCCAAUGAUCAAUUCCAUUGCACACGAUAUCUCAGACAAAACAAUCAAUGUUGCCAACGUUUUGUUUUUUACUUGAAGUGACUAAAAAAGAAGGGAUGGGAAGACGCGUCAAAGGAAACGUUAAUUGUCGUGUGUCUUGCCGUUGUUUUCUGGAAAACACUGUGAGUUUGGGCAUACUUGCCCCCUGUGAGAAUUUAAAAACUAGUAGCGCCAUGAAAAAAAAAAGGCAGAAAUAUAUAUUUUGUUCUGUAAAUGGAUAAUGUCGACUGAUGUUAAAUGGGUAAAACAGAGUUUUGCAAUAUGUGGCAACAAUACGAGAUAUUAAGUCACAUGUUAGUGUACCUUUUUGAUUUUGUACUUUGCUUUGAGUGUUUUCACUGUGUGUGUGUGUGUGUGUGUGUGUGUGUGUGUGUGUGUGUGUGUGAGCACGUUAGUGUCAAAUGCACUAAUCUGAAGUCAUAUUCUAUGCCACUUUUCUCUCACCGUGAUUAAAAAAUAUUGGCAUCGAUAUAGUUCUUCCCUCAAUGUUCUUCUGAUGUUUCUGUAAUAUCUUUGUGCCUAAAUGAAAUUGUUCAACAAAUUGUCCACAUAUAUCUGCUUAGUUUCUGUAUUUUCAAGAAAAUUAUUGGUGUCUUCAGGGCUCCAGGGGUGCCAUGAUGAUCUCGGAUGGAUUCACUUGAGACGAUUUUUGUUACGUGAUGAUCAUUUGGUCUAUUUUCAGUGGUUCCACUGGCGACCGAUCAGUAUUGUAGUGUUUUAUACACAGCUCGACAAAGACAAGCCAAACAUUCCUUGGAUCGGAAUAAGAGCGUUUUUCACAAUGAAUAUUCUGCUUUGAGGGGGAAAAAUUGAUGUUUGAGAAUCAAACUUACUUUCAUUUCCUCAUUCUUUUUUUGCCUCAGCAACAGGUUUGCUGAUUAAACUUUUCAACCAUGUCCCUUUAACAUUCGGCAUUUGUACUGCCCCUACUAGACAUUUUUAUUUGUUGUUUAAAGUACUUAUGUUAUCAUUGCAUCCCUGGAGUUGGCUCACUGUGUUCCAGUGUGGUGUUCUAGAAAGAGUAGCCAUUUCAUGCUGUGUUGCCAUGCAUGUGCCAUUGAGGUCAAAACUAAACUGUUUGAGUAACAAAGCACCAAGACGUUGUCUUUUUUUUAUAUUAGCACUGAGGACCAAUUGCCCUGUCGGACCAAGCAUAACAAAGCUUUUUAUGUAACAAAGCAGUUUCUCUCUUCCCCCUCUCCUUCUCUGGCUUGUCUGUAUUUUUUUCCUCCCUUGUGACAGCACAAGUGCCAGUCCUGUUGCUCUUUAAGAAUAUAGUGUUUUGUUUCUGGGGAUUUUAUUUUUGUUUGUUCUAUUAUUAUUAUUUGAAUUGUUAUAGUUACGUCUACCUCAGCACCUAAUCUUAGCCUAAUCUUAGAAGGUGCCCAAUUAUUAUUAUUAUUUUUUUCAGUUUGUUGUCAAUUGUACAAAUUUUUAUUUGCAUUAGAGCUUUGCAACGGUCCUCUGUCUUUUCCAGCAACAUGCUAUUUUUUGUGGCACUACUUUCUGAAUGUUGUGCUACAGAUAUUGGCAUCAGUUUCCUGAUGUAGUCUUUCUUUCGGUGUAGGAUCAGACACAUCUCUUUGUAACAUUUCAGUGUUCUCUGAUGGAGUGUGAAAAAAAUAAAGAAUUUAAAGAGAUCGAACGCUGCA